UGACUAUUUAUUUAUUUAUUUUUUUUCCUCCGUAUUUUUAUUUUGUUAUUUUGUUUAUUUCUUAAGCAUAAUUACGCAUUUAUGCCAUAUAUAUGCGAAGCGCUGGGACCUAAAAAAAGGAGAGGUGAGAGGAGAUGAUAAUUAAGAACUAGGUUCGCACAUUUCCGAUCUUCGUAUCAUUUUUCCCUCCUCUUUCUUUCCCACCUCUCCUCUUCUCCCUUUUCCAUCCAAAAACACAAACCCAUUUAUUUUAAUUAAAAAUACCUUAACCCUAACUACAUUGCCCUCACUCCAAUGCCGUUAUAAGCUCUUCUCGUUUUGUGUGUAGGAUUUGAUUUGGUAAAUGCAGGGGGAAACGUGGUGAAGGCUUUGCUGGAAAUUUUUUCAAUCUAAUGGCGAAAUAUGCAGCUUCACCUUCAUGCAUCAAGUUACAUUUACACCAAAGUUUCGUUAAGCAAAGAGGAUUUGUGCUUCGGAAUUCGAAUCUCAGGACGCCACAAAGCAAAUUUUCCUUUGGCAGCUGUAAAGUUUUCUGGCUUUCAACAUGGAGAAAUUGGAAGGUUGAUAACCCAUUUUUCUCAAAUUUCAAUUUUAGCCCCUGCUUCAGGGAAACUUCCUUGAGGUCUACUUGCAUUCGGUCUUUACUGGACUCUGAUGGUAUAAUAGCUUCUGAUUGGAUUCCUGUCGGUGACCAAUUACUUUUGAUGGGUAGUAUAUUUCUUACGUAUCUGGCUGGAGUAAUUCCUGUUCAAAAAUCCAGCUCCACAUCUCAAAAGAACAUAGCUGAUGAUGAUGCCUUUCCUAAAAGCUCAACCUCUUCUGGUAGUGCUAGGACAAACAGUGGCCAAGAUAAUUUGAAGCAUGUUUGGGAUGUAGUAAGAGGAAAACUUUUGAUUCUGUAGAAUCUAUUGAACGUGGGAGUGAUUUCAGAAAUGGAGUCCUUGAUGAGCAACAGCAUGCAAAGCAACCAUUAAAUCUGCACACUGUAUCUGAAGGUCCAAAGAUAAGAUUGCUUUGGGGUUCUCUUCAGCAACUUGAGGAAGAGGCAGGCACUGUCUCUAGUGGUUCCUUAUGCUCUAGUUACUUUGAGUGAAAAACAAUGUUGAUGCUUCUGAUACUGGCAAUAUGGAUGAUUGGUUGAUAGUCUUUUCCAGAAUUAUUGAAAUAUCCUGAACUUGUUACUCUGAUAACUGAGAAAGUAAAUGAAGACAACACAGUUUUACAAAAUAUUAGAAAGUCAGGGAAGGAAAAUUUGUAUGCAGAAUUGUUGUUUUUUCUUAGAUUUGGUUCUCUAAGGUAAAAUAAACUCUGACUGCCUCUGUUUUUUGUUGUGUUUAGCAUAGUCUGUUCAAAGAUUAUUGUUUCUAUAUGUUUUAAUCUUCGUAGAUUACCCAAGAGCUUUGUAGAAUAUGAAUUUCUGGCUGGUGACAAUUGCUUUUAGUUUACAGUGUGAAAACUUCAAGGAAAGGUUGUUGUUAUGACCAAAGCUUGUCUACUUUAUAAGGGGAUUCCAUAUUGGAAGAUCUGGUGAUAACUUUAGCAGAUGGGAUAGCAAGCACUUAUUUGGAGCUUAUUUCUGUUGACGGCGAUUUGUCAGAUGAAGUGAAUAGUUUGGGGUUAGCUAUCUGUAAUUUGUCUACUCGUGCACUCCAAAGUUUGCGUAAUGAGUUAUGGCUUUGUUUCUUGUUUAGUUGUAGCACCUGUUUCUCUUUAAUUUCUUAUUAUAUAGCUCUUGUUCGUGAGCAUAUUUUCUGAGUACUGUUAUUCUAGAAGUAAUUAAAGAAUGAUGUUCUCUAGUUUUGAGGUUUGGUGGAUGGACUGAUUGAGCAUACUGGGUUUGUUAACUUAGUGCAGGCACUAAGCAGUUCAAUAGCUAUUCUUAUGCAGAAAUCAUGAAGGCUUUUUUAUCUUUUUUCUUGCCCUUACUUCCUUUGCAUUUCAAGCUCCUUACAUAUGCAUAAAUGUUUAUCUGUUUCAUUUAUGUUUAUGAAUAUGUAUAUCCAGAUGCAUUGUCUAAAUCUCACAUGGAGAAAUAUCUCUUAAUUGGAUUUGGAGCACUUCAAUAGUGUUUAUUUUCAGCACUCAUUUCGGAUGAGUAGGGAAUCAUUUCUCGUAUUUGAAAUACUAAGAAUUUCUUAAAACUUUUAUGUGAUAGAAGUGCCGGUAUUAAAUCUGUAUGGUUAUUGAGUGAGAUAAUAUGAUAUAUUCAAUAUGAGAAGAUUUAAAAUUGUUCAUAUUAAGGCACUAUAGAUCUUUGCACUAGAUGUCAGGACUUCUGGUUAUAAUUUCAUCAAGAUUUUAAAACA